CUCCGGUGAUCCCCGCCGGACCCGACUGCUAUCAGAGUGGGACUAAGCCAUGCGAGUCAACGUAGCAAUACGUGGCAUACGGCUCAGUAACACGUAGUCAACAUGCCCAGGGGACGAGGAUAACCUCGGGAAACUGAGGAUAAACCUCGAUAGGCCAUGAUUUCUGGAAUGAUUCUUGGCUCAAACCUAUAUGGCCCCUGGAUUGGACUGCGGCCGAUCAGGCUGUUGGUGAGGUAAUGGCCCACCAAACCUAUUACCGGUACGGGCUCUGAGAGGAGGAGCCCGGAGAUGGGCACUGAGACAAGGGCCCAGGCCCUAUGGGGCGCAGCAGGCGCGAAACCUCUGCAAUAGGCGAAAGCUUGACAGGGUUACUCUGAGUGAUUUCCGCUAAGGGAAUCUUUUGGCACCUCUAAAAAUGGUGCAGAAUAAGGGGUGGGCAAGUCUGGUGUCAGCCGCCGCGGUAAUACCAGCACCCCGAGUGGUCGGGACGAUUAUUGGGCCUAAAGCAUCCGUAGCCGGUCCUGCAAGUCUUCCGUUAAAUCCAGCUGCUCAACAGAUGGGCUGCGGGAGAUACUACAGGGCUAGGAGGCGGGAGAGGCAAGCGGUACUUUAUGGGUAGGGGUAAAAUCCGCUGAUCCAUAGAAGACCACCAGUGGCGAAGGCGGCUUGCCAGAACGCGCUCGACGGUGAGGGAUGAAAGCUGGGGGAGCAAACCGGAUUAGAUACCCGGGUAGUCCCAGCUGUAAACGAUGCAGACUCGGUGAUGAGUUGGCUUAUUGCUAACUCAGUGCCGCAGGGAAGCCGUUAAGUUUGCCGCCUGGGGAGUACGGUCGCAAGACUGAAACUUAAAGGAAUUGGCGGGGGAGCA
rnacentral:rRNA from 1 species